rnacentral:sRNA from 1 species
GCUGGUGAUGGGACAUUCGCCGAUCGAAACGAUGUGAUGGCUCUGCAUCUGGUUAUAGCCGAGCAGCAGUUCCUU